GGCGGACGGGUGAGUAAUGCUUGGGAACAUGCCUUGAGGUGGGGGACAACAGUUGGAAACGACUGCUAAUACCGCAUAAUGUCUACGGACCAAAGGGGGCUUCGGCUCUCGCCUUUAGAUUGGCCCAAGUGGGAUUAGCUAGUUGGUGAGGUAAUGGCUCACCAAGGCAACGAUCCCUAGCUGGUUUGAGAGGAUGAUCAGCCACACUGGAACUGAGACACGGUCCAGACUCCUACGGGAGGCAGCAGUGGGGAAUAUUGCACAAUGGGCGAAAGCCUGAUGCAGCCAUGCCGCGUGUGUGAAGAAGGCCUUCGGGUUGUAAAGCACUUUCAGUCAGGAGGAAAGGGUGUGAGUUAAUACCUCAUAUCUGUGACGUUACUGACAGAAGAAGCACCGGCUAACUCCGUGCCAGCAGCCGCGGUAAUACGGAGGGUGCGAGCGUUAAUCGGAAUUACUGGGCGUAAAGCGUAC
rnacentral:rRNA from 1 species